AGCAGGCCAGCAAAUCUCUCUGUGCUUUUGAUGUCAAGUUAUUUGCCUUUUAAAUUCUGUUGAGGUGAAUCACCUUUGCUGUGGUUGUUGUUUUUGAACGCAGUGAGACUUCCAAAUGACUAUCUGCACUUUUCCAUUCUUCUACUGUCUUUCUGUAUCUCUAUUGAUACUGUCCCCAGCCGCAUUUGGAGUUGAGGCCAGAAACUUGUGAAGAAUCACAAGAUCUCUCAGGUUCAGCAUGACUGGAAAUACUUCCAGACACCACCACUACAGACAUGGGUGGACACCUAAGGAGUGAGAUGGUUGGGUUAUAUGAUCAAGACAUUCUACCUGGGCUAACGCCAAGGAAGCAGGUGCAAAGAGGAAUGGGCUCCGGAGAGAGGACAGGUACCCAGCAAAGCCCUCCAACACCCAUGACUGAGAUGUCUCAUUUGAAGCAACUAUGUUCCACCUGAAAUUCUCUGGGCUAGACUACUGACAAGGCAAGAGACGGCAGCAGGCCAGAAAACUUUAGCAUUCCAAGACAAGAAGAGUUCUUGUCCCCGCCCUUCAUGUGUGAAGACAGAAUGUGUGCAGCUGGGCACACUAAGCGUCGUGACUACACCUAUCAGAUUCUACACAUGAGGGAAAAUAGGAGAAAUUUGUCUUAUUUCACUUCAUCUGAUCUGCAGAUCCACCCACUGUUGGGAGCCAGGCCAACCCAAAGCUUUCUCAGAGACUCUGAGGAAAGAAGAGAACCCAAGUUCUGGGUCUUUGCCCAAGGGUGGGCUUGGCAAGGUCUGGGCCUCAAAGUUCCUAGGAACGUGACUUUCCCCCCGAAGAAGAGACUGGAAUUAUCAGUCCUGAGUUUCUGAGCACUCAGUCUGGGAUGCACUUGAGACGUCCUGUGCUCCCUUUGUGCAAUGUGACUUGACUAGCUUCCUGCUGACGUCACCCUGUUGUACAAUGGCUUCUGCUGACUCUUCCCUACGCCUCGCAAACUGUA